AUACCAUGAUGAGGACACUUCCUAGUGAGAUCCUUGAACCUCUCCCAAGCCACAUGGAGAGAUUCAUUAUCCAGCUGACAUAAAUUAUUAGUUUCUCCUUGAAGCUU